CCGAGUUUACAACUCCCAAACCCCUGUGAACAUACCAAUUGUUGCCUCGGCGGAUCAGCCCGCUCCCGGUAAAACGGGACGGCCCGCCAGAGGACCCCUAAAACUCUGUUUCUAUAUGUAACUUCUGAGUAAAACCAUAAAUAAAUCA
rnacentral:misc_RNA from 1 species